GACGAGCGCUGGCGGCGUGCCUAAUACAUGCAAGUCGAACGAACUCUGGUAUUGAUUGGUGCUUGCAUCAUGAUUUACAUUUGAGUGAGUGGCGAACUGGUGAGUAACACGUGGGAAACCUGCCCAGAAGCGGGGGAUAACACCUGGAAACAGAUGCUAAUACCGCAUAACAACUUGGACCGCAUGGUCCGAGCUUGAAAGAUGGCUUCGGCUAUCACUUUUGGAUGGUCCCGCGGCGUAUUAGCUAGAUGGUGGGGUAACGGCUCACCAUGGCAAUGAUACGUAGCCGACCUGAGAGGGUAAUCGGCCACAUUGGGACUGAGACACGGCCCAAACUCCUACGGGAGGCAGCAGUAGGGAAUCUUCCACAAUGGACGAAAGUCUGAUGGAGCAACGCCGCGUGAGUGAAGAAGGGUUUCGGCUCGUAAAACUCUGUUGUUAAAGAAGAACAUAUCUGAGAGUAACUGUUCAGGUAUUGACGGUAUUUAACCAGAAAGCCACGGCUAACUACGUGCCAGCAGCCGCGGUAAUACGUAGGUGGCAAGCGUUGUCCGGAUUUAUUGGGCGUAAAGCGAGCGCAGGCGGUUUUUUAAGUCUGAUGUGAAAGCCUUCGGCUCAACCGAAGAAGUGCAUCGGAAACUGGGAAACUUGAGUGCAGAAGAGGACAGUGGAACUCCAUGUGUAGCGGUGAAAUGCGUAGAUAUAUGGAAGAACACCAGUGGCGAAGGCGGCUGUCUGGUCUGUAACUGACGCUGAGGCUCGAAAGUAUGGGUAGCAAACAGGAUUAGAUACCCUGGUAGUCCAUACCGUAAACGAUGAAUGCUAAGUGUUGGAGGGUUUCCGCCCUUCAGUGCUGCAGCUAACGCAUUAAGCAUUCCGCCUGGGGAGUACGGCCGCAAGGCUGAAACUCAAAGGAAUUGACGGGGGCCCGCACAAGCGGUGGAGCAUGUGGUUUAAUUCGAAGCUACGCGAAGAACCUUACCAGGUCUUGACAUACUAUGCAAAUCUAAGAGAUUAGACGUUCCCUUCGGGGACAUGGAUACAGGUGGUGCAUGGUUGUCGUCAGCUCGUGUCGUGAGAUGUUGGGUUAAGUCCCGCAACGAGCGCAACCCUUAUUAUCAGUUGCCAGCAUUAAGUUGGGCACUCUGGUGAGACUGCCGGUGACAAACCGGAGGAAGGUGGGGAUGACGUCAAAUCAUCAUGCCCCUUAUGACCUGGGCUACACACGUGCUACAAUGGAUGGUACAACGAGUUGCGAACUCGCGAGAGUAAGCUAAUCUCUUAAAGCCAUUCUCAGUUCGGAUUGUAGGCUGCAACUCGCCUACAUGAAGUCGGAAUCGCUAGUAAUCGCGGAUCAGCAUGCUGCGGUGAAUACGUUCCCGGGCCUUGUACACACCGCCCGUCACACCAUGAGAGUUUGUAACACCCAAAGUCGGUGGGGUAACCUUUUAGGAACCAGCCGCCUAAGGUGGGACAGAUGAUUAGGGUG
rnacentral:rRNA from 1 species